rfam:TPA: Bos taurus chromosome 17, whole genome shotgun sequence.
UCCCUGGUGGUCCAGUGGCUAAGACUUUGCACUCCCAAUGCAGGGGGCCCAGGGUUCGAUCCCUGCUCAGGGAA